rnacentral:rRNA from 2 species
UAAGGAAUAUUGCGCAAUGGACGAAAGUCUGACGCAGCGACGCCGCGUGGGGGAUGAAGGUCUUCGGAUUGUAAACCCCUUUCGGGAGGGAAGAUGGAGUGGGUAACCACUUGGACGGUACCUCCAGAAGCAGCCACGGCUAACUUCGUGCCAGCAGCCGCGGUAAUACGAAGGUGGCAAGCGUUGUUCGGAUUCACUGGGCGUACAGGGAGCGUAGGCGGUUGGGUAAGCCCUCCGUGAAAUCUCCGGGCCUAACCCGGAAAGUGCAGAGGGGACUGCUCAGCUAGAGGAUGGGAGAGGAGCGCGGAAUUCCCGGUGUAGCGGUGAAAUGCGUAGAGAUCGGGAGGAAGGCCGGUGGCGAAGGCGGCGCUCUGGAACAUUUCUGACGCUGAGGCUCGAAAGCGUGGGGAGCAAACAGG